rnacentral:lncRNA from 1 species
AUGAGCCACCGCUCCCGGACUCACUUCAGUUUUAAAAGAGCCACUUGUGGAUUGGAUUUAUCCUUACAAAGUGGAGUUUCGCUCUGUUUCCCAGGCUAGAGUGCAGUGGCAUGAUCUCGGCUCAGUGCAACUUCCACCUCCCGGAUUCAAGCGAUUCUUCUGCCUCAGCCUCCCGAGUAGCUGGGAUUACAGGUAUGCACCACCACGCCCGGCUAAUUGUUGCAUUUUUAGUAGAGUCGGGAUUUUACCACGUUGGUUAGACUGGUCUUGAACUCCUGACCUCAAGUGAUUGUCCCGCCUUGGCCUCCCAAAGUGCUGGGAUUACAGGAGUGAGCCACCAUGCUUGGCUGCACACUAUUUUUUGUGUCUUGCUUCCUUGGCUCAGCAUUGUUUGUGAGAUUCAUCCAUGUUGUGGGACCCGUAGUUCAUUUUUAGGAACUAUAUACUUGUGUGAUUACGCCACAUUUAUCCAUUCUAUUCUUGAUGGAUAUUACAUUAUUUUUAGUUUGGGACCAUUGUAAGUAUUACUGCUGAGAACACUCUUGUGGUUUUGUUUUGAGACGGAGUUUUGCUUUUGUUGCCCUGCCUGGAGUGCAGUGGCGCAAUCUUGGCUCACUGCAACCUCUGCCUCCCGG